GCUAUGCUUUGUUUUUUUCUAUUCAUUUAAAAUAAUGAUUGCUUUUCUAUUUUUCAGUUCUUUGCUUAGUCAAAUUUGAGGCUUGUUCCCUUUGCCAAGAUUACAGAGAACAUUGGGGAUUGGGCUUCAUUGUGAUGCCACUUCUCUAACAAUAUACCUCAUUGGAGAGGGAGCUCCUGGCUGAAUUCCUAGAGAGAACUUGCUGAUGAAUUCAGAGCCCAAGUAAUUUGUUAUCUCAUUUCUUUUAUUUGAUUUUUUUUUCUUAUGUUUCUAUUUCUUUAGAUUUGAGACUGUUACUAAAAUAUUAUGUAUAUUGAUGGAUUGCAGCUUAUUGUUAUAGGUUGUGAAUGAGUUCUUAAGGAGGUGCUUUGCUGUCUAUAUCACCACUCUUUCCAAAAAAUAUUAACUUGUUUUGGCCAAAUCAGCUGGAAAUUUUGCGUUGAUUUGGUGACAACAAGGUACAUAGUCAGCUAAGCUAUGUUUUGAAAGAGCAAUUGAAGAGACACUAAGCUAUCCUCCUACUGCAUACUCUGCUUUUUGGUAUAAUAGGAUUGUGUGUGAUGAUCACACGUGAGGAAGUUAUUAAACCAAGUCUUGAUCUUCGAAGUGUAGCACUUAGUAGAGAUGAAUUAGUUCGGACUAGAUAUUCUUGAUUGUUUGACUUGUAAUGUAUUGGACAAGAACAUGGACUAUGUGCUUCUUGAGCAUCAAGACUUGUUGAAUGUUUCGAAGUGUGUUUCCUUGAUUAAUUUUGAAGCCUAAACAAGGCUAAAUAUUGUAAUUCUAUUUAAGUAAUUAAUAAAAAAUAUAUUAUUUA